CCUACGGGUGGCAGCAGUGGGGAAUAUUGGGCAAUGGGCGCAAGCCUGACCCAGCAACGCCGCGUGAAGGAAGAAGGCUUUCGGGUUGUAAACUUCUUUUCUCAGGGAAGAAGCAAGUGACGGUACCUGAGGAAUAAGCCACGGCUAACUACGUGCCAGCAGCCGCGGUAAUCCGUAGGUGGCAAGCGUUAUCCGUAUUUACUGGGUGUAAAGGUCGUGUAGGCGGGGACGCAAGUCAGAUGUGAAAAACAAGGGCUCAACCUGUGGCCUGCAUUUGAAACUGUGUUUCUUGAGUACUGGAGAGGAUGGCAGAAUUCCGGGUGUAGCGGUGAAAUGCGUAGAUAUCAGGAGGAAUA
rnacentral:rRNA from 1 species